AGCGCCGCCCGCUCUCCACGCCCGCGGCUAGCGUCCGGCGGGACUCGCUAGGAGCGCCGCGGCGGCCGGGCUGCCUCUUCUCCGUUGUGCGCUGGGAGAAGACAGGGGAGGGGGCCGCGACCUCCCAUCCACGGCUACCCCAUCGGACGGGGCGCGCGCGCGGGCGCGCGCGCGCGUGUGUGUGUGUUGGUCCAGCAGCCUCAAGAGCCCUUCCCUUACCUCAACCCCGCCCCCCCCGCCCCCACACACACCUUCUUCCCUUCCUCCCUUCCCGCUCAGCACAAUCAGCUGUUUCCGAGAAGUCGCUGAGUGUGGUUUGGUGGGAAGCCGGAGGAGAGCUCCAGGCCGAGGAGAUCGAUCGGGUUGCCGAAUCUUCGAAGGCCGACAAUGAAAGCGUUUCCUUUCGAAGAUGGAGCGAGGAGUCAGAGGAUGUUGUGGGUGGAGAGGGAGAUGUGGGGUAGAGGCUGCUCUCCCAGACCUGGACCGGCUCAUCUAGAUACAUCAUCACUCAUAUAGGUUCCGAGUUCAGAGCUGGGUUCUCCACUGACGGGUGAACUUGGACACUUGGAGAUAAUUCUCAAUGCCACAUCAUAGCCAAGUCAUCUUCUCUUCCUUGAUCGGUCUCAGAGGAUGUCCAAAACAGAACUUCCUUUGUCUGUCUGAAGGAUCCUUGGAAGGAUUUGCCUAUGAGCUCAUUGGCAAAGGUUUUGGAAGUCUUCCAUAUUAUACAUAUUUGGAAAAUGAUCUGUAUCUCCAAGCUGGCUUGGCAAGGACAUUGUUGUUCUCAGGAAUUAAAAACAUAAUGAC